rnacentral:rRNA from 1 species
ACAAACCGGAGGAAGGUGGGGAUGACGUCAAGUCCUCAUGGCCCUUAUGGGUAGGGCUUCACACGUCAUACAAUGGUCGGGACAGAGGGUCGCCAACCCGCGAGGGGGAGCCAAUCUCAGAAACCCGAUCGUAGUCCGGAUCGCAGUCUGCAACUCGACUGCGUGAAGUCGGAAUCGCUAGUAAUCGCGGAUCAGAAUGUCGCGGUGAAUACGUUCCCGGGUCUUGUACACACCGCCCGUCACACCAUGGGAGUGGGUUUCACCAGAAGUAGGUAGCCUAACCGCAAGGAGGGCGCUUACCACGGUGGGAUUCAUGACUGGGGUGAAGUCGUAACAAGGUAACC